GUGGGGAAUAUUGGACAAUGGGCGAAAGCCUGAUCCAGCCAUGCCGCGUGAGUGAUGAAGGCCUUAGGGUUGUAAAGCUCUUUCAGUAGGGAAGAUAAUGACGGUACCUACAGAAGAAGCCCCGGCUAACUUCGUGCCAGCAGCCGCGGUACUACGAAGGGGGCUAGCGUUGUUCGGAUUUACUGGGCGUAAAGCGCACGUAGGCGGAUUGGUCAGUUAGAGGUGAAAUCCUGGAGCUCAACUCCAGAACUGCCUUUAAUACUGCCAGUCUAGAGGCCAGAAGAGGUGAGUGGAACUCCUAGUGUAGAGGUGGAAUUCGUAGAUAUUAGGAAGAACACCAGUGGCGAAGGCGGCUCACUGGUCUGGUACUGACGCUGAGGUGCGAAAGCGUGGGGAGCAAACAGGAUUAGAAACCCCAGUAGUCC
rnacentral:rRNA from 1 species